CCGCUCACCAAUCGGUCAUGAGUACGAGGCAGCAAGACAAACUAGUCUACGAAAAUGCUUGUAAACCGGAGGUCGGUUUCUGUCUUUGGUUAUCUAGCUGUAUGAGUAUUAAAUACCUGUCAUAAAGCUAGAUAACCGAAAGUAGAAAUUACAUCUACAUUCACGGUCAGGUAGGAAAUAAGGCCUAGGGUAUACCUACAACUAAUUAGGCCUUCUAACAAGUUUCGCCAAGUUCCACCUCAAAGGGAGACAAGAGAGGGGACAAAGACUAUGCCUGAUCCCCGCCGGAUGGGUGUUGAAAGAGGAGAGAAAGGAGCCAUCUUGGGAGACGUUGCCGCGGUACCUAAAAUGGCUGGGCUGGCACACGAGGUCUGGAUAUGGAGUCGUCAGGAUUCUGCAUACCCUAUUGGGGAUCCUGGUAUGGACCAAACAACCAGUAGACAGUUAAAACCAUCUCUGUCACUGUCAUAGUCAGUUUAUACAUCUGGCAUGAGGAGCUACAGUAGCCUACACUGUUCACAGAACCAGAGGACCACAACAAGCUAGAGGGAAGACUAUGGAAGAUUAUGCAAGAGGAUGCUUAAAAUAUACUUUGGCAAAAAUCACUAUAAAAAAUACUGGAGAAAUCUGAUAUUUUUUCAUGGAAUACAUUCACACAUUCACUCUUCCUUGAAUUUGUUGUUCUUUCACUGAUUCAAUGUAAUAAUAAUAAUGAAAAACAUAAACACACUUAUGUUCUCAAGUCACAAGUGACAUUCAAACUCUGCUGUGUGUGUGUGUGUGUGUGUGUGUGUGUGUGUGUGUGUGUGUGUGUGUGUGUGUGUGUGUGUGUGUGUGUGUGUGUGUGUGUGUGUGUGUGUGUGUGUGUGUGUGUGUGUGUGUGUGUGUGUGUGUGUGUGCGUGCGUGCGUGCGUGGCAUUGCUCUUUACAAACCCUGAAGUAAGUGAUUCCACAUUGUUGUCAAUUAAAUUAUGUACAAUGAUCAUUUGUGUCUUGCUUCAUGUUCAUCAAUUUUUUAAGGGAUAGUAAAUGUGGAGAACCAAAAGAACACUUUGGGUGGGGAGUGGGCCUAAGGACACCUGCCUCAAACUAGAAUGAUAAAAAAGUAGCACAGGGGUAUGGGUGAUAAAAACAAUUGUAAUAUAGGCUACCAUGCUGAGAGAAACCCACCUCUUUGGAGCUGGCCAUAGUGCAAAGCAAACAACUUAUCAUUUAGUCCUCUUGUAUCAGUACCUUGGACAGCACCAUGGGUUGGGAUACAGCUCCCACUUUUUCAUAUAACAAACUAAUUUAUGCAGGUGGGAGUGAGAAACAAUGGUGGCCUCAGGAACAUAAAAUGUACGUCAAUUAGUAAAUAUAAUACAAUCAAAUAUUCCCAUAUUUAACGCAGUUAUUUCUGAAGUAGGUUAAAUCUGAAGUUAGACUUGUUUUGAUGGAGUUGUUUAAACUAUUAGAGGCUAUUCCUAAUUCCAGAUUUGACAGACUUGAUUAGUGACUCCAUUUUCUGACACCAAAUCAGGUUUAGGAUUAUACAGUGUAGGUCUGAUUUGAUGGAACGAACAUUGACUCCAAUAUCUCACCCUUGACCUCAAUCAGUGUCCAUCCUGAUGACCAAAGUCAACAACAGAUGGACAGAAGUAAGAUCAAGAAGGGAUUAUUCAGUCUUUGUGUAGUUAUAAUCAAAACAUGUUUGUUGUGACAGACAAAAAGUAGUAAAUAGAACUAAAUGUCACGUUCUGACCUUUAUUUCCUUUGUUUUGUAUUCAUUAUUUAUUAUGGUCAGGGCGUGAGUUGGGGUGGGCAGUCUAUGUUUGAUUUUCUAUGAUUUGGGGAUUUCUCUGUUUCGGCCUAGUAUGGUUCUCAAUCAGAGGCAGGUGUCAUUAGUUGUCUCUGAUUGAGAAUCAUACUUAGGUAGCCUGGGUUUCACUGUUUGUUUGUGGGUGAUUGUCUAUGUUGAUUGCUUGUUUCAGCACAGUUCUCAUUAGCUUCACGGUUGUUAUUUUGUUUAUUGUUUUUGUAUAGUGUUUUAGUGUUCAGUGUUUUCUUUAUUAAAAUUAAUGAUGAACACCUACCAUGCCGCAUUUUGGUCCUCCAAUCCUUCUCGCCUCUCCUCUUCAGAUGAAGAGGAGGACGACCGUGACACUAAAUGAAUGCUUAUCAUUGGUAUUGAUGCUAACACUUACAAAGUUGUCAAGGAAAUUGUUUAAUUCAUGCUGGAAAACAGUCCAAAUACUGCUGUUUUGGUGGAGUGAAAAGACUGACACAAUGAAAUGUAAUAGAAUUACAGAACAGUAAUACACUGUUAUAAACUAUUAUUAUUAUCAUUUAUAUUUUGCAUUAACAA